UACGAAGGGGGCUAGCGUUGCUCGGAUUGACUGGGCGUAAAGGGCGCGUAGGCGGUUUGCAUAGUCAGACGUGAAAUUCCUGGGCUUAACCUGGGGGCUGCGUUUGAUACAUGCAGGCUUGAGUUCGGAAGAGGGUCGUGGAAUUCCUGGUGUAGCGGUGAAAUGCGCAGAUAUCAGGAAGAACACCCGUGGCGAAGGCGGCUCUCUGGGACGGUACUGACGCUGAGACGCGAAAGCGUGGGGAGCGAACAGG
rnacentral:rRNA from 1 species